rnacentral:rRNA from 1 species
GUGGGGAAUUUUGGACAAUGGGCGCAAGCCUGAUCCAGCAAUGCCGCGUGUGUGAAGAAGGCCUUCGGGUUGUAAAGCACUUUUGGCAGGAAAGAAAUAGUGCGUGCUAAUACCAUGCGCGAAUGACGGUACCUGCAGAAUAAGCACCGGCUAACUACGUGCCAGCAGCCGCGGUAAGACGUAGGGUGCAAGCGUUAAUCGGAAUUACUGGGCGUAAAGCGUGCGCAGGCGGUUUUGUAAGACAGGUGUGAAAUCCCCGGGCUCAACAGGGGAACUGCACUUGUGACUGCAAGGCUAGAGUGUGUCAGAGGGAGGUGGAAUUCCGCGUGUAGCAGUGAAAUGCGUAGAGAUGCGGAGGAACACCGAUGGCGAAGGCAGCCAUCUGGACCAGCACUGACACUGAGGCACGAAAGCGUGGGGAGCAAACAGGAUUAGAAACCCGUGUAGUCC